UGUUCACAGUUGGCCAUUCUGUCGGUGCUGGUGGCUGCUGCGUCUGCCAGUGGCGGGAGGAGCCAGGUCGAAGUUGAAACUUUCACCCCAAACACGGUCAGCUCGUAUGGAUCCAACGUGAACCACGGAUACAACGCUCCUGGCGGCUAUGGCCAGAUCUACGAGCUGAGAGAAGGAUUCAGACAAGGCCUCGGCAAUGCAUUCGACGGCGAAAACGGCGAACACCACGGUCCGCAAGGACUCAGAGGAUUCCGAUUCAGAUACAGCGCCGACGUCGGAAACGGAUACGGACAGGGCGGAACCGGAGCCGGAUACGGCGGAAUGCGCGGUUGAUUCGACGGAAUUCACGGUUGAUUCGGCGGACGCAGUGGUGGACACGGUUCACCUUUGUACAGGUCUCGCGUGUUUUAGCGGCAGGCUUUGCAUCUAUGAAAUUUAAUAUAGUUACUUCAGGCUAUAUCUUGGUCGUCUUAAGCUUUUGAGUGUUCAAGUUGCGAUAGACUUGUUCGUUCACAAGCCUGCUAUGAUCGUUUUAAAAUGGCUUCAUAGUAGAUCGAUUAGUUUCUGAGAUAUAACCGGAAAUGUAAAAGGGCAAAACCUACCGCUUAAUCUCGCUAGAGCCGUACAUUCCUCGGGUACGUUACCCCGUGGGGUUAAUAUGGUAUUGGUGGAUUGAACCGUUUCUGAGACAAAUUUGCUAGUGAAAUCAGUAGAUGAUAGAUAUGGUGGAUAGGGACAUUUUUAAACUUACUUUGACAUCUAUCUAGAACGAUGUGGGCGAAAUCCUUUCUCUGUAAUAUCCAUGGAUAAUGUCAUGUCAUGGAUUGUCUAUAUGUAGACCGUAACUGCAUCUUGAGCGACAUCACAAUGUCACAUAUAGACCUCACUAGAUCCGAUCGAGUUGGACACCCGUCCGAGACCGCCGCCAACAGUAGAAUCCCCUGCCGUCAACAGUAGAAUCCCCCGCCGGACACCGAGCGCACCCCCCGCCG
rnacentral:lncRNA from 1 species